CACUUUCUAGUUGCUCUCACUCUGCAUCCGCUUCUUAACCCUGGCGCCCUGGCUGUUUUCUCAACGUGGGGGCCACUGCUGAAGCCCUGAGCUGCUCCCAGUUAGUCAGGCCUGUUCCUGCCAUGGGGAGCUCUCUUCUGACCACAGUACAGUUUUAUUGGCUCGUAGCAUCAUCCGAACACGGCCCACUGGCUAUAUUCUGCCAGCAUGCAGGAUAGGACCAUCACCUCCCUCUGUUUAAAUGUCAUUUUAUGCAAAGCUGCCCCUCCCGUGGUGCACUCCCUCCAUCACAGAUCUAACUCCAAGACUGAAAGAGAAGCUGAGAUUCUCUCAGACCCAGACUAGAGUUAAGUGUCUUAAUUUGAUAGAUAAGAAACUGAGGACAGUCUGGAGAUUGAGAACAGUCAAGAGACUGAGGACAGUCACAGAACUGGAGAUUGGCACACGGACAGUCAGAGUCGCCAGCCCACGCCAUGGGCACAGCCAGCAGUGGACUGGGCAAUAGAACCCCCAAUUUUUGAGGGGCACAUCCUACUCGGUAUAAAGAUUCCAUUUCCAGUUAGGUGUGGCCAUGUGACCAAGUUGUGGCAAAAGUGGGUGUGAGCAAAAGUGAUGUGCACCAUGUGGGCUGUGUGCUUGGGGUGAAGUGAUCUUCCAUUUUUCCUCUCUUCCACUUCCGAUGGCUGGAAUGUGGACCCGGAAAACAUGGUGUUAAGUCUUCUUCAACCACAUAGACGAGGGCAUCGAGAUAAAGGCACUGUUCUGCACAAGUAUCCAGUAUGCUUAAUCCUCUUCCCAGGAGCUGAGGAAGAGCACUCCUAUCACCUCCACUUAAUAGGUGGGGACAGAGGCUGAAAGGAGCCGCGAGGGACUGCAGAGCGGGCUGGCACUUGAGCUGAGACCGUUUGGAUUCAGGUGACCGUCCUGACACAUAGCAUUUUCCCACCUUUGUGACCCCCUGGGUGGGGCUGUUGGGUCCCAGUUACGUGCUGGGACAGGAAGCCCUUUGUCAUGGAGCCCCUCACCCAACCACCUCGAGGGCUCCGGCUCCGCUCCAGGAGGGCGGCAACCCCAUCACAGUCUCCUGCUUCUCCCAGCAAGCAGCUGACAGACACCACUUCCCUUGCCUUCCCCAUCUGGAAGACAGGAAACUGGAGGUUAAGCCUCAUGGGACUGCAUUUUGUUUAAGCUUUAUUAACAACACUCCUCUGUUUACUUUGGGAAAUGUAUAAGAAAUUGGUAAUACCCAGUGCGGAUGAGGUUAUGAGGAGGAUAACAUAGUGGGUGUACGGAUAAUAUCGGUGGGUCUGCAAAGGAUCUGGGGGAGAUGACUGGACAAAAUCCAUCCCAUUUAGGAAAGCACAGACCUUCAGAACUAGCCAUUCCACUUUUAGGAAGGUAUCUGACAGAACCGUUGAACAAGUAUGCUGACUGUAGCGGUCCCAUAAAUCAUAACAGGCUCUGGAAUUCUAGGCAGCUGUCAAAAGGAAUAAAGUAACUCUGAAUUAGGAACAGGGACAGAACAUGUCUGUGGUGUAGUAUUUAAAAUACAAGUUGCAAAAUAAUAUGUAGAGAAUAAUGCAAGUUUUUUUUAAAAACAAUAAAAAUAAUGUGUAUAGAAAACACGUAUAUAUAGAAAAUGGUCUGAAAGCAUACAUGCCAAAAUGAUGAUAGUGGAAAGUAGAAUUCGGGAGGAAAUGGAAGGUGAAAAAGAACUUUUCAUUUUUCAUCUGUAUGCUUCAAUAUUGUCCAUGUUUUUAUAAACAUAUCUUAGCUUUGUAAUUAAAACUUUUUUAAAAAAUUAGGAGCUAAUAAAUGAUUUUUUUCAUGGCCCAAGCAUCAGCUUGCCAACUAUCCCCUCUCCCGCAUUGCCCCCUCCCUUCCACAUGCUGUCUCAUCUUCUCCUGUUUGCUAUCUUUGGACCUGAGGCUUCUGAGCUGGCUGCAAGGCUCCAGAGCCCCUCUAAACCACACUCACUAAUCUCUCCCUAAUCCUGGCUCCCCAGCAGCUCAGACCGCCUGCUGUCUGCUCCUGUGGGAGGUGGGCAGGAGUCCCCUUGGUUUAUACCUCUCGGUUUAAAAAAGGAAGCAGCUAUGGAUACUCAGG